AAUUCGAUGAUAGCCGAAGAACCUUACCAGGUCUUGACAUCCCCUGCAAAGCUAUGGAGACAUAGUGGAGGUUAUCAGGGAGACAGGUGGUGCAUGGUUGUCGUCAGCUCGUGUCGUGAGAUGUGGUUAAGUCCGCAACGAGCGCAACCCCUAUUGUUAGUUGCCAUCAUUCAGUUGGGCACUCUAGCGAGACUGCCGGUAAUAAACCGGAGGAAGGUGGGAUGACGUCAAAUCAUCAUGCCCCUUAUGACCUGGGCUACACACGUGCUACAAUGGUUGGUACAACGAGUUGCGAGUCGGUGACGGCGAGCUAAUCUCUUAAAGCCAAUCUCAGUUCGGAUUGUAGGCUGCAACUCGCCUACAUGAAGUCGGAAUCGCUAGUAAUCGCGGAUCAGCACGCCCGCGGUUCCGAAUACGUUCCGGGCCUU
rnacentral:rRNA from 1 species